rnacentral:rRNA from 1 species
CCUACGGGUGGCAGCAGUGAGGAAUAUUGGUCAAUGGACGAGAGUCUGAACCAGCCAAGUAGCGUGAAGGAGGACUGCCCUAUGGGUUGUAAACUUCUUUUAUAUGGGGAUAAAACGUUCCACGUGUGGGAUUUUGUAUGUACCAUAUGAAUAAGGAUCGGCUAACUCCGUGCCAGCAGCCGCGGUAAUACGGAGGAUCCGAGCGUUAUCCGGAUUUAUUGGGUUUAAAGGGUGCGGAGGUGGAUUGUUAAGGCAGUUGUGAAAGUUUGCGGCUCAACCGUAACAUUGCAGUUGAAACUGGCAGUCUUGAGUACAGUAGAGGUGGGCGGAAUGCGUGGUGUAGCGGUGAAAUGCUUAGAUAUCACGAAGAACUCCGAUUGCGAAGGCAGUUCACUGGACUGCAACUGACACUGAGGCUCGAAAGUGUGGGUAUCAAACAGGAUUAGAUACCCGAGUAGUC